rnacentral:rRNA from 1 species
UAGGGAAUCUUCCGCAAUGGGCGAAAGCUUGACGGAGCAACGCCGCGUGAGUGAUGAAGGUCUUCGGAUCGUAAAACUCUGUUAUUAGGGAAGAACAAAUGUGUAAGUAACUAUGCACGUCUUGACGGUACCUAAUCAGAAAGCCACGGCUAACUACGUGCCAGCAGCCGCGGUAAUACGUAGGUGGCAAGCGUUAUCCGGAAUUAUUGGGCGUAAAGCGCGCGUAGGCGGUUUUUUAAGUCUGAUGUGAAAGCCCACGGCUCAACCGUGGAGGGUCAUUGGAAACUGGAAAACUUGAGUGCAGAAGAGUAAAGUGUAAUUCCAUGUGUAGCGGUGAAAUGCGCAGAGAUAUGGAGGAACACCAGUGGCGAAGGCGACUUUCUGGUCUGUAACUGACGCUGAUGUGCGCAAGCGGGGGGAUCAAACAGG